rnacentral:rRNA from 1 species
AUUGAACGCUGGCGGCAGGCCUAACACAUGCAAGUCGAGCGGUAGAGAGGUGCUUGCACCUCUUGAGAGCGGCGGACGGGUGAGUAAUGCCUAGGAAUCUGCCUGGUAGUGGGGGAUAACGCUCGGAAACGGACGCUAAUACCGCAUACGUCCUACGGGAGAAAGCAGGGGACCUUCGGGCCUUGCGCUAUCAGAUGAGCCUAGGUCGGAUUAGCUAGUUGGUGAGGUAAUGGCUCACCAAGGCGACGAUCCGUAACUGGUCUGAGAGGAUGAUCAGUCACACUGGAACUGAGACACGGUCCAGACUCCUAUGGGAGGCAGCAGUGGGGAAUAUUGGACAAUGGGCGAAAGCCUGAUCCAGCCAUGCCGCGUGUGUGAAGAAGGUCUUCGGAUUGUAAAGCACUUUAAGUUGGGAGGAAGGGUCGUUACCUAAUACGUGACGAUUUUGACGUUACCGACAGAAUAAGCACCGGCUAACUCUGUGCCAGCAGCCGCAGUAAUAC